UACAGGGGGUGCAAACGUUGCUCGGAAUUAUUGGGCGUAAAGCGCGCGUAGGCGGCUACUUAAGUCGGAUGUGAAAGCCCUUGGCUCAACUGAGGAAGUGCACCCGAAACUGAGUGGCUUGAGUACCAAAGAGGGUCGCGGAAUUCCCGGUGUAGAGGUGAAAUUCGUAGAUAUCGGGAGGAACACCGGUGGCGAAGGCGGCGACCUGGGUAGAUACUGACGCUGAGGCGCGAAAGCGUGGGGAGCAAACAGG
rnacentral:rRNA from 1 species